rnacentral:lncRNA from 1 species
AAGAAGAAUCGGAGGAAUUAUAGAGACUGUAAUAUUUAUAACAUUUAAAUAAAAUACUAUACUUGUUACAAUAUGUGCCGUCUUGAUUAUUUCUUGACGUAAAUUUAUCGGCCACAUCUAAUUUAUUAAAAUUAUGAGGGAAAAUUCGUUGCUAAUCCCUUGCAAUAAAUAAAAUAUUUAUCUCGUAAAAAGCUAUUACAACAAAAUUUUAUCGUAGUUCUGUUGUAUAACUUUGAAUUAUUUUUUCAAAAUAAUUGGCCAUAAUUCCAUCAUUAUAUUUGGUAAGAAUUAACGCGAAAAAUAAUUUAUCUCAAUAUUUAAGGAAGUCAUAAUUAUGGGAAUUUUACAUGAAAAUAUUGGAGGGAAGAUAAAAUAACAAAAUUUAACUUUCAAUUAUUUUAUCUUCCCUCCAAUAUUUUCGUGUAAAAUUCCCUCUCUCAUCCAUUCCCGCCCUAUAAACCACGAACAAUCUCCUACUUAGAUAAGUUUGAGGUAUCCAACUCUAAUACAACUACAUAGACUCCAAUAAGAAGGAGAAAUUCGUACCAUUUAUUUUCUACUUCUUCUUCUUUUUCUCCCAAUUGCUUUCUGUUAUCCCAAUUAAUGCCAUCCACAUCCAACUAUCGCAGGUGCCAUCAUCCCCGACCUCUAUAACCAGGUAAACCAACUCCUCUCUUUGGUUUUGACUUUCUUAAUUUCUCUACCUAAUAAAAUUUUCUAACAACAUUUACCAAUGUUCUAUUUUUUAGUUUAUAUGCAGGAGUUGAAUAACACAAGGAGCAACUCCACAAUCCUUUGCUGAGAAAAUCGUCUUUUGUUAUAAUCGAGGGCCUUAAUUUAUGGUUUAAGGAAGGAAUU